AAUCAACGCUGGCGGCGUGCCUAACACAUGCAAGUCGAACGCGAAAGUCCCUUCGGGGGCAAGUAGAGUGGCGUCCGGGUGAGUAACACGUGGGUAAUCUACCUCCGGGUGGGGAAUAACACCUCGAAAGAGGUGCUAAUACCGCAUAAUGCAGCGGCACCUAAUGGUGAUUAGUUGUUAAAGCGGGGGAUCGCAAGACCUCGCGUCUGGAGAGGAGCCUGCGGCCGAUUAGCUAGUUGGUGAGGUAACGGCUCACCAAGGCUACGAUCG
rnacentral:rRNA from 1 species